UAUUUAGCGGCGGACGGGUGAGUAACGCGUGAGCGACCAACUUGCACAGGGGGAUAACGGACCGAAAGGUUCACUAAUACCGCAUGAGACCACGGUGUUGCAUGACACAGAGGUCAAAGGAGAGAUCCGGUGCAAGACGGGCUCGCGUCCGAUUAGGAGUUGAGGGGUAACGGCCCACCAAGCCUAUGAUCGGUAGCCGACCUGAGAGGGUGAUCGGCCACAUUGGAACUGAGAUACGGUCCAAACUCCUACGGGGAGGCAGCAGUGGGGAAUAUUGGGCAAUGGGGGAAACCCUGACCCAGCAACGCCGCGUGAAGGAAGAAGGUUUUCGGAUUGUAAACUUCUGUCCUUGGUGAAGAGAAGAAGACGGUAGCCAAGGAGGAAGCCCCGGCUAACUACGUGCCAGCCGCCGC
rnacentral:rRNA from 1 species